rnacentral:rRNA from 1 species
AACGGGUGAGUAAUACGUGAGUGACCUGCCUUUGACUCUGGGAUAAGCCUGGGAAACUGGGUCUAAUACCGGAUGCGACUACUGCCCGCAUGGGCUGGUGGUGGAAAGGGUUAUGUACUGGUCUUAGAUGGGCUCACGGCCUAUCAGCUGGUUGGUGGGGUAAUGGCCUACCAAGGCGACGACGGGUAGCCGGCCUGAGAGGGUGACCGGCCACACUGGGACUGAGACACGGCCCAGACUCCUACGGGAGGCAGCAGUGGGGAAUAUUGCACAAUGGGCGCAAGCCUGAUGCAGCGACGCCGCGUGAGGGAUGACGGCCUUCGGGUUGUAACCUCUUUCAGCAGGGAAGAAGCGGAAGUGACGGUACCUGCAGAAGAAGCGCCGGCUAACUACGUGCCAGCAGCCGCGGUAAUACGUAGGGCGCAAGCGUUGUCCGGAAUUAUUGGGCGUAAAGAGCUCGUAGGCGGCUUGUCGCGUCUGCUGUGAAAGCCCGGGGCUUAACUCCGGGUGUGCAGUGGGUACGGGCAGGCUAGAGUGCAGUAGGGGUAACUGGAAUUCCUGGUGUAGCGGUGAAAUGCGCAGAUAUCAGGAGGAACACCGAUGGCGAAGGCAGGUUACUGGGCUGUUACUGACGCUGAGGAGCGAAAGCAUGGGGAGCGAAUAGGAUUAGAUACCCUGGUAGUCCAUGCCGUAAACGUUGGGCACUAGGUGUGGGGGACAUUCCACGUUUUCCGCGCCGUAGCUAACGCAUUAAGUGCCCCGCCUGGGGAGUACGGCCGCAAGGCUAAAACUCAAAGGAAUUGACGGGGGCCCGCACAAGCGGCGGAGCAUGCGGAUUAAUUCGAUGCAACGCGAAGAACCUUACCAAGGCUGACAUACACCGGAUCG